UAGUGGCGAACGGGUGAGUAACACGUGGGCAAUCUGCCCUGCACUCUGGGACAAGCCCUGGAAACGGGGUCUAAUACCGGAUACUGACCCUCACGGGCAUCUGUGAGGUUCGAAAGCUCCGGCGGUGCAGGAUGAGCCCGCGGCCUAUCAGCUUGUUGGUGAGGUAACGGCUCACCAAGGCGACGACGGGUAGCCGGCCUGAGAGGGCGACCGGCCACACUGGGACUGAGACACGGCCCAGACUCCUACGGGAGGCAGCAGUGGGGAAUAUUGCACAAUGGGCGAAAGCCUGAUGCAGCGACGCCGCGUGAGGGAUGACGGCCUUCGGGUUGUAAACCUCUUUCAGCAGGGAAGAAGCGAAAGUGACGGUACCUGCAGAAGAAGCGCCGGCUAACUACGUGCCAGCAGCCGCGGUAAUACGUAGGGCGCGAGCGUUGUCCGGAAUUAUUGGGCGUAAAGAGCUCGUAGGCGGCUUGUCGCGUCGGUUGUGAAAGCCCGGGGCUUAACCCCGGGUCUGCAGUCGAUACGGGCAGGCUAGAGUUCGGUAGGGGAGAUCGGAAUUCCU
rnacentral:rRNA from 1 species